AUGAACGCUGGCGGCGUGCCUAAUACAUGCAAGUCGAGCGAACGGACGAGAAGCUUGCUUCUCUGAUGUUAGCGGCGGACGGGCGAGUAACACGUGGAUAACCUACCUAUAAGACUGGGAUAACUUCGGGAAACCGGAGCUAAUACCGGAUAAUAUUUUGAACCGCAUGGUUCAAAAGUGAAAGACGGUCUUGCUGUCACUUAUAGAUGGAUCCGCGCUGCAUUAGCUAGUUGGUAAGGUAACGGCUUACCAAGGCAACGAUGCAUAGCCGACCUGAGAGGGUGAUCGGCCACACUGGAACUGAGACACGGUCCAGACUCCUACGGGAGGCAGCAGUAGGGAAUCUUCCGCAAUGGGCGAAAGCCUGACGGAGCAACGCCGCGCGAGUGAUGAAGGUCUUCGGAUCGUAAAACUCUGUUAUUAGGGAAGAACAUAUGUGUAAGUAACUGUGCACAUCUUGACGGUACCUAAUCAGAAAGCCACGGCUAACUACGUG
rnacentral:rRNA from 1 species